rnacentral:rRNA from 1 species
UAGGGAAUAUUGGACAAUGGGCGAAAGCCUGAUCCAGCCAUGCCGCGUGAUAGAUGAAGGCCCUCUGGGUUGUAAAUAUCUUUUAUCUGGGAAGAAACACUCUUAUUCUUAAGAGCUUGACGGUACCAGAGGAAUAAGCACCGGCUAACUCCGUGCCAGCAGCCGCGGUAAUACGGAGGGUGCAAGCGUUAUCCGGAUUCACUGGGUUUAAAGGGUGCAUAGGCGGGUAUAUAAGUCAGUGGUGAAAGCUCCGAGCUUAACUUGGAAACUGCCAUUGAUACUGUAUAUCUUGAAUAUCGUAGAGGUUAGCGGAAUGUUGCAUGUAGCGGUGAAAUGCUUAGAUAUGUUACAGAACACCAAUUGCGAAGGCAGCUAACUAUGCGACAAUUGACGCUGAGGCACGAAAGCGUGGGGAGCAAACAG